ACCCGACCACUGUAUCUUAUGAUAGUAACACAGCAGCUGAGCAACUAAAGGCGACGGAAGACUUAGUUACAUUGUAUUUGACGCCUGAGGACGAUUUCACACAGUCACCCCCAUGGAGCAGAUACGUAUGUCCACACAAGCCUAAGAAGAGAUCUAGGAAGAGAUCUAUUGAGCCUGUGAAGCCAUACACGACCGGUCUC